rnacentral:lncRNA from 1 species
CCUGAAAUUAUAUAAUUGAACCUGCAAGGUGAGUAAACUUUAGAAAUUAGAACAAUGCUAUGUAAUUUUGACCUAUAUAUACUAUGUAUUUAAUCACGAGACUAUACCUUUAACUUAUGUCAAAAUGUGUCAACACUUAUAUAUAUUCAUUAAAUCAAAUUUUGACCUUAGUAUGUAAUUUUCCGACGAAGGGGUGUCGGUCAACACCCCUUGCUAUAGGGUAGCUCCACCCUGUCUAAAUGUAAUAUAUACACUAACAAGUUAAAAGAAGUUCCUCGGCUAGAAAAGUGUGUCCUUCCACCAACUACUUUUUCUUCGCAAAAUAAAUAAGAAAAGAUGGAUGUUCACUUUGUUGCACAAUAAAUAUCCCAUUGCAGGCAGGCAGGGGCGGACCUAUGUUGGGUCAAUGAACCUAUUUCAUAAAAAAAUUACACAGUAUAUAUAAGUAUAUUUGGUUUAUCUUUUGAAAAAUAUAAAUAUAAAUGAAAAAUUGACUCAUUUAAACAAAUGACAAUCCUUGGUAAAGUGGAUUUAUUUUUGUAGAAGUGUCCCAGUUCGAAACCGGACAACAACACAUUAAUUUAUUAGUUUUUUUUGUGAAUUUUCUUCUUCAUAUUUGAAUCCACUUGGUAAAUUUUUGGGUCCGCCACUAAAUUUGCCAAUAACAUUUCAUUAAAAUCCACAAACUAAUAUCUUCUUACAGAAAACAUGAUAUAUUUUUUUAUUUUGAUGUUACUUAUUAUUUUUAUUCGCACCACAGAGCCAACAACAAAAUAUGAUAGUGCAUGUCCACCACAAACGUUUGGACAAUCACAUUACAUUAAUAUUUUUGAAAUAUUAUUUUCAAGGAGCUAACUUGGUGGAAAAUUCAUAUUUUAUAACACGUUUAGUUUUUUAUUGAUUAGCGAUGGAAAAAACCCUCCGCUUCUAAUAGUGACUAUUAAUAUUGAUAUAUUGGACAUAACAAGUUGUUUGUCUUAUUUUCAAAUUACUAAAUUCACUUAUAUGGGCACUUAUAAUAAUGAUUAAAAAAGAUACACUUGACUAUUAUUAUUUUUGCAAGUCUCAUAUUUUAACUACAAGUUGUUCUCUUUCUUUUUUUGAACUAUCAUCAUUUGUAUACUAAUACAUACCUCGAAGCUAAUUAGUCCAACUAUCAAUUGUUUCCUUUUUUUAUCCAAACUAUCACCAUCUAUGUGUGUUUUAAUACACACCUAGAUGGUGAUAAUUUGGAUAGGAAAAGAUAGUUGGAAUGCAAAACUCGCUAUUAGUGAUAAUUCAAUUUUGAUUUUGAUCAUUAUUUCUUACCUAAUCUAUAGUAACAUCAAGGAAAUACGGAGAUUAGAGAUAUCUUCACCAUAACUUGUCAAUGUGAAAAGCAAUAUUGAUGAUUUUUCUAUGUUUAGCCCAUUUAACUGCUUCAUUGUUCAAGAUUCCUUUGGCUAAAAGCUUCAUGUGAAUGCAGCGGAAGCCUUCUAGAAAAUAUUACACAUUAGUGGUAAUUAAAAACAUUGAAAGCUUGAUGUUGGUGAUUUACAUGUAUAAAUCUAAUUAACAACAAAGAAAUGGGAAAUCAUACAAUAACUCUGUUGAUUGAAUACCUGAAUUUUCAUUUUGUUGGUGAGGAUUUGAUUUCUCACCUUAUAAUCUCCUCCCCAUUGAUAAGGUUGAAACUCAAACUCGCGUUUGUAAUUUAUUGUCAUG